CCGUGUUUUUUAUUAAAAAAAAGAACAAACAAAACAAAGGAACCCUAAUUUGAUGUCAUUCUUUUUUCAUUUCUCACUCACUCACUCAGCCUCCAUCCCCCUCUCUCUCCUCCUCCUCCUCCUCCUCUUCUCUAAUCUCUGGUUCUUUAAGUCUAUCUCAGCGUACUCUGAGUCUCCAUUGAAGCGGCUUGCCGUCUUGUGAGCUUUCUCUGCUCCAUUGAGAUUUGAGGCAGCGUCAUUCUAAGGAGUGUAUGGAAUUUGGAAGUAGUGGGGAGAUGGAAGACUUAUCCGCUACAAGUCAAGCUCCUCCAAUUCCAAGUCCUCCUCCCGAGCCUUGGGAGUUGACCCUUGUCAUAUGAUGGAAAGUAAUGACCCCUUUGAGCAAGAUGGUUGAAGCCUUGAUUUGUGCUCAAGAUUGGUUACGUACAUCUCAAGGUCCACUUAUACUCGAGGAGAGACUUGAAGAUAUGGAAAAAAUUGAAUCAAGUAACAUUUAUAUAUUUUCUCUUUUUUUUUUUAGUUUCUUCAAGUCUGAUAUCUUCCUAUUUAUUAUUUCUUACUUUUUUUUUAAAGUAAUUUUACCACUUGGUGAGGAACAAUCCCUCUUUGUUGAUGAUGAUUAGAGGAAGGAGCUGUUAGAAGCAUGAAGGAGCUGUUAUAAGCACGAAAGAACAAUCCUUCUUUGUUUGUAAUUGGACUAUUGAAGGCAGAAGUCAUUGAUGACUUAAGGCAGCAUUUUUUUAAUCAAUAGACAUUAUUUUAAGGAUAUGUAAUAAGCUGUAUAAGAAACUGUAUGUUUGGACUAUGGACUUUUUUAGUUUUUCUUUUAUAAGAAACUGUUGUUUGUAA